ACGCUCGACACCUACGGGGGCAGCAGUGGGGGAUAUUGCACAAUGGGGGAAACCCUGAUGCAGCGACGCCGCGUGGAGGAAGAAGGUUUUCGGAUUGUAAACUCCUGUCGUUAGGGACGAAUUCUGACGGUACCUAACAAGAAAGCACCGGCUAACUACGUGCCUGCAGCCGCGGUAAUCUGAGCGGGCUGGCAAGGC
rnacentral:rRNA from 1 species